UUAAGUUCAGCGGGUAUCCCUACCUGAUCCGAGGUCAACCUGAAAAUGAUUGGGGGGUUGCUGGCAAGACACCGUCCGGACCCUGUCGCGAGGAGUAUUACUACGCGUAGAGCCGACCGGCACCGCCACUGAUUUUAGGGGCCGCGAGACCGCGAGCCCCAAGACCAAGCAAAGGCUUGAGUGGUUGUAAUGACGCUCGA
rnacentral:misc_RNA from 1 species